UACGAAGGGUGCAAGCGUUAAUCGGAAUUACUGGGCGUAAAGGGUGCGUAGGCGGUUCGUUAAGUCUGUUGUGAAAUCCCCGGGCUCAACCUGGGAAUGGCAAUGGAUACUGGCGGGCUAGAGUGUGUCAGAGGAUGGUGGAAUUCCCGGUGUAGCGGUGAAAUGCGUAGAGAUCGGGAGGAACAUCAGUGGCGAAGGCGGCCAUCUGGGACGGUACUGACGCUGAGACGCGAAAGCGUGGGGAGCGAACAGG
rnacentral:rRNA from 1 species